AGCGNGGCCNAGAAUGCAGUCGAACGAUUAAACUCGCCUUCGGGUGAGAUAUAAAGUGGCGCACGNCCUUUUUUAACACGUAGGUAAUGUGCCUUUGGGUGGGGAAUAACNUAUUGGAAACUUAAGCUAAUACCGCAUAAUGCAGCGGCUCCUUCGGGAGACAGUUGUUAAAGAUUUAUCGCCUAAAGAGCAGCCUGCGGCAGAUUAGCUAGUUGGUAAGGUAACGGCUUACCAAGGCUACGAUCUGUAUCCGACCUGAGAGGGUGGUCGGACACACUGACACUGAAUAACGGGUCAGACUCCUACGGGAGGCAGCAGUCAGGAAUUUUGGGCAAUGGGCGAAAGCCUGACCCAGCAACGCCGCGUGAAGGAUGAAGUCUCUCGGGAUGUAAACUUCGUAAGAAUAGGAAGAAUAAAUGACGGUACUAUUUGUAAGGUCCGGCUAACUACGUGCCAGCAGCCGCGGUAAUACGUAGGGACCAAGCGUUGUUCGGAUUUACUGGGCGUAAAGGGCGCGUAGGCGGCGUGUCAAGUCAAUUGUGAAAUCUCCGAGCUUAACUCGGAACGGUCAAUUGAUACUGAUGUGCUAGAGUGCAGAAGGGGCAAUCGGAAUUCUUGGUGUAGCGGUGAAAUGCGUAGAUAUCAAGAGGAACACCUGAGGUGAAGACNGGNUUGCUGGGGCUGACACUGACNNCUGAGGCGCGAAAAGCUAGGGUANUCAAACGGGGAUUAGAUACCCCCGGGUAGUUCCUANNCCCUAAACGAUGAAUUACUUUGGUUGUCCUGGGA
rnacentral:rRNA from 1 species